CCCUUAGAGUUUGAUCCUGGCUCAGAACGAACGCUGGCGGCAUGCCUAACACAUGCAAGUCGAACGAGACCUUCGGGUCUAGUGGCGCACGGGUGCGUAACGCGUGGGAAUCUGCCCUUCGGUUCGGAAUAACUCAGGGAAACUUGAGCUAAUACCGGAUGAUGACUUCGGUCCAAAGAUUUAUCGCCGAGGGAUGAGCCCGCGUAGGAUUAGCUUGUUGGUGAGGUAAGAGCUCACCAAGGCGACGAUCCUUAGCUGGUCUGAGAGGAUGAUCAGCCACACUGGGACUGAGACACGGCCCAGACUCCUACGGGAGGCAGCAGUGGGGAAUAUUGGACAAUGGGCGAAAGCCUGAUCCAGCAGUGCCGCGUGAGCGAUGAAGGCCUUAGGGUUGUAAAGCUCUUUUACCCGGGAUGAUAAUGACAGUACCGGGAGAAUAAGCCCCGGCUAACUCCGUGCCAGCAGCCGCGGUAAUACGGAGGGGGCUAGCGUUGUUCGGAAUUACUGGGCGUAAAGCGCACGUAGGCGGCUUUGUAAGUUAGAGGUGAAAGCCCAGGGCUCAACCCUGGAAUUGCCUUUAAGACUGCAUCGCUUGAACAUCGGAGAGGUAAGUGGAAUUCCGAGUGUAGAGGUGAAAUUCGUAGAUAUUCGGAAGAACACCAGUGGCGAAGCGACUUACUGGACGAUUGUUGACGCUGAGGUGCGAAAGCGUGGGGAGCAAACAGAUUAGAUACCCUGGUAGUCCACGCCGUAACGAUGAUGACUAGCUGUCGGGCU
rnacentral:rRNA from 1 species